GGAGCUGCCAGCCCCUGCUGAACAAUAGGUGAAGAGACACCAGGUGUCUGUGAAGGGGGAAGGGGACCUCCCCACCCCUGCCUCUGUGCCUCUGACCUGUCUGCAGAAUGAAACUGUUAGGCCAAGUUCUUAUGCUCCUUCUAGCUCCCAGAUCCUGAAUCUAAUGAGUUAAGGUGAGCAGCGGGAGACCAGGUAUUCCCUGGAAAUCACCUCUUGUGGAACAUGAGUGGAGAAGACAAUUAGACAAGAAAUAUUUAUCACUGGGACCAAAUUUUAACUAGAGUCAUAGAAUGAAGAGGUCAGGGCUCCAGAGACAAAGUGAAGCAGAGAAUUAAAAUAAUUAUCUGGAUCAUUCA
rnacentral:lncRNA from 1 species